GGGCUUGUACUGGUUUCGACAGGGAUCUCGAAGAUGGAGAAGCUAUCCGCAGGCAGAUGCGUUAAAUCGCAAAUUAAAAUUAAACGCUAACGAUAAUUUCGAAUUAGCUGCAGCCUAAAUGCUGCAUGUCAGCCUGGAGGCACCCACACCUUCAGUGUCUGGCAUCAAUGAUGUGGGAAACGAUGCCGGUAAAGCUUUGAGCCGGCAGGCGUAUCAUGAAGCUACUGAAACUGUAAGGGUGUUAGUUCCCGUAUGGCAGAGGGAAUGUUAAAGAACUGACUAUGAUAGUAGAAGUACAUGGGAAAGGUUUUUGGACGCGGGUUCGACUCCCGCCAGGUCCACU
rnacentral:tmRNA from 1 species